AGAGUUUGAUUAUGGCUCAGAUUGAACGCUGGCGGCAUGCCUUACACAUGCAAGUCGAACGGCAGCACGGGUGCUUGCACCUGGUGGCGAGUGGCGAACGGGUGAGUAAUACAUCGGAACGUACCUUAUCGUGGGGGAUAACGCAGCGAAAGCUGUGCUAAUACCGCAUACGCCCUGAGGGGGAAAGCGGGGGAUCGAAAGACCUCGCGCGAUUAGAGCGGCCGAUGCCUGAUUAGCUUGUUGGUGGGGUAAAAGCCCACCAAGGCGACGAUCAGUAGCUGGUCUGAGAGGACGAUCAGCCACACUGGGACUGAGACACGGCCCAAACUCCUACGGGAGGCAGCAGUGGGGAAUUUUGGACAAUGGGGGAAACCCUGAUCCAGCAAUGCCGCGUGAGUGAAGAAGGCCUUCGGGUUGUAAAGCUCUUUUGUCAGGGAAGAAACACCGGCUGUAACACAGUCCGGGAAUGACGGUACCUGAAGAAUAAGCACCCGGCUAACUACGUGCCAGCAGCCGCGGUAAUACGUAGGGUGCGAGCGUUAAUCGGAAUUACUGGGCGUAAAGCGUGCGCAGGCCGGUUAUACAAGACA
rnacentral:rRNA from 1 species